CACUUAUCAAGAAAGAUCGAGGGACUGGGCCCGAAGACAUCUUGGCAACAUAUCCAUAGCCGCAAUAUUGGAUGUUGUGCCAACUCCCAUUCUAGAUGCGAAUAUCUGGAUAUAAGAUAGGUA
rnacentral:ncRNA from 1 species